ACUAGGAGACUCAGCUUAUAAACACCAUGUGUUACAGCAUCCCUCCCCCGACCUUUGCAGCAUUAUCCAGCACCAUAUUUACAACCACCUCAGCCCCCUAAGUCAAGGAUAGGAAAGCGAAAUUGAUGGAACUCAAAGAGGCAACGGAAAAGGACAUCCAACUACGAGUACGAGAGAGAGCGACUAGAGUGGCCAGAGCACAAAAGCCAAGUACCAGUAGAAGCAGAACCACAUUUUCAAAAUGAGGAUGAGCUAAGUACAUAGAAUCAUAGUUUGAAGACAGAGAGUUGUUGUCCCUGCCUCAUUAUGUAAGGAUGUUAUGCAAAGAAAUAAAUGCCUAAUAGCUGGGCAAUAGCAGUUUUCUUAGAUAGAUUUGAGAAUGUGUUUACUGGCUGAGAAAGAAUACACCCCCACUCACUGAUAGAAGAGUGUGACACCAGCCAGUCAUGUGAUAACCACCAUCAGAAAAAGAUUCUGUUACCACAUGAGCUCCCCUCCCAACCACAGGAGAAGAUAGAAAUGGCCUUAUUUACUUUCAAGGAAAAGCAGUACUUGCUUACUGUGAACUACAAUUCAAAUUUUUGAGAGGUUGACGUCCUCCCUGUACAAGAAGCAAAUCAGUGAUUGGCAAACAGAAGGCCUGCUUUGUGAGAUAUCGCAUUCCAGACACUGUAUUCACUGACAAUAUACCCCAAUUUGCAUCAGAAGAAUUCAAGAUAUUUGCAUGCAAAUGGGAGUUUGACCACAACACCUCCUCUCCAGCAUACCCACAGUGUAAUGAAUGUGCAAUGCUGUGCAGAGGCCUUCGUAUGUGUUCUGUUUAACUCAGGGAGAAACCAAACCCACAUGAAAUAUGGAGUGUGUGCAUGGAGCGGGGGAGGGAAGGGAUAACCUACAAACAAAGAAAACCAACCACAUCUAUAAACUUCAGCCAUGCAGACUAAGAGCCUGAGGACCUUUCCACAUUAACAUAUCUGUGCAAAGCCAUCAAGCAAAAACUGUCUGCUGGCACUUCAUCUUGAACAUCUAUACAGUAACAUGCUGUCAAAUUUCUAUAACUGUGGGAGAGCAAGUUGGCUUUUAAAUCCUGCCAAGAAUGAGUCAAGAUUUGUUCAAGUUGAGCCUUGAAUAUAUGACUGAGAUUGGAUCCAAACACUGCACAGUUUGUUUUCCUAGUCGAUUAUUUUUUACAUUUGCAGAAAGCCUGGUGCUUUAUGCUUUUUGCAGGCAUGCCGAGAAAGUGAUUAAUACAACACAGAUUUUACACAUACAAUACCAAAGGUGCUAAUACAAUUCAGAGUUACAUUUGCAUUAUAUCGUUCACAUUUCU